rnacentral:rRNA from 1 species
GAUCAUGGCUCAGGAUGAACGCUAGCGACAGGCUUAACACAUGCAAGUCGAGGGGCAGACAUAAAGUAGCAAGUACUUUGGUGGCGACCGGCGACACGGGUGAGUAACGCGUAUGCAACCUACCUAUCGAGAGGGGAAUAACCCGGCGAAAGUCGGACUAAUACCGCAUAAAACAGGGGCACCGCAUGGUGAUAUUUGUUAAAGAAAUUCGCUGAUAGAUGGGCAUGCGUUCCAUUAGGUAGUUGGUGAGGUAACGGCUCACCAAGCCGACGAUGGAUAGGGGAACUGAGAGGUUGGUCCCCCACACUGGUACUGAGACACGGACCAGACUCCUACGGGAGGCAGCAGUGAGGAAUAUUGGUCAAUGGGCGGGAGCCUGAACCAGCCAAGUCGCGUGAAGGAAGAAGGAUCUAUGGUUCGUAAACUUCUUUUGCAGGGGAAUAAAGUGCAGGACGUGUCCUGUUUUGUAUGUACCCUGAGAAUAAGGAUCGGCUAACUCCGUGCCAGCCGCCGC